AGAAUAUUGAAUGGGAGUGUUCAGAUUGCUCCGCGUCGCAGUGUUUUUGAUCGAUGCGUGUUUGUUUCUUUUCUUCAAUGCCUGGUCUCUGCUAUCUGCUAAUUAAUCGUUUUUUCGUAGCGUGUAGAAAAAUCGAAAGAGUUAAUCGGUGCAGAAUAAGUGAAAUUGCGGAAAUUGAAUUGAAAUUCUUACGCGACUAGCAGAAGCGGAAAUAAAAUAGGUAGAUUUCGCUGUGAACAAAAACUAAUAUUGCAACUAAUAUUGGUAAACAAAAAUUAUAAACUUUCGUGUAUGUUUGUGCAUAAGUGUGUACGCAGUCAGCUGCGAAUGUCAA
rnacentral:lncRNA from 1 species